UCUACAGCAGUGGCAGCAUGGUUCUAUUUUUAUCGCUUGUCACUAUGCCAGCCACUGUCGCACUUAUGUACUUGUUAGAACGUGAUAGGCAUGGUGACAAAUGAUAAAGAGCCAACCAUCUUAGCUCUACAGGUCAUGGUCACGAACUGAUAACACUAGAGUCUAUUAUCGUUUGAAUCCCUGAUCUUGAUUGUAUUAUUACAGGUGAAUGUACUUGACAUUCUCGUUUGAAUAGGUACAAUAGUCAUUACCCUCCUUGUUAUGUAUUGAAAUGUAACACUUAAGUAAUAACUUAUGUAACUGCCUAAAUAAUACAAGUUGGGCGGAUUUGUAGGCGUAUAAUUGUGACGUUGGCGGAACAUUCAAAGGCUAUAGUUAUUGGGAUUAUUAUGAUUUAUUUUUAACAUUAUCUUUAAUGGACACUGUAGAUGUAAAAAACUUUCUUAGUAUUAUAUAAUUUUACGUCUUUCCUGUGGCUAUCAUGGAGCAAACGGACUUAAAUGACAAAUGUUCGUACUAUUGCCUUAUAAUCAUGGAAAACAAUCUACUUCAUAAAAUUAGUAUGAUAAAAUUCCUAGAAAAAUAAAUCCAAAAAUGUUUUUUUUUUCAGGUAAGCCGUUGCUGAAACACCUAACACCUUACCUAUUAACAUGGCAUGAAAUUUUGUGUAUGUAUGUAUUUACCGGCCAGUCUAGCUUCUGCAGGAAAUGGUUUAAAUUACACGGACAUGGAGAUGACCGUGGGUCUUAUUAGGUUCAAUGAUAUUAUGUAAUUAUAACACGUACAUAUAACUGUAGAUAGGUUAUACUGGAGCACAAAAAAUACUUCAAUAUUUAUUUCAUUACCUUCGAAUAAAUCUGUUUUUAUUGAUGAA